AAAAAGAAUAAAAUAUAAAAAAGAUAAAUUAUACUUUUGGUUCUCAAACUAUGAGACAGGUGACAUUUUAGUCCGUGAACUUUAAUGCAUUAUAAUUUCUGGAUCAAUUAUGAGAGACGUUACACUUUAGUUCUUAAACUUUAACAAGUUGUAAUUUUUGGUUUGUACGAGGCACAUGACAUGUUAGUUCUCAACUUUUAUUGCUAUUAUAGAUAUAAUUUAUUAUU
rnacentral:lncRNA from 1 species